GUGCCAGCAGCCGCGGUAAUACGUAGGGUGCAAGCGUUGUCCGGAAUUAUUGGGCGUAAAGAGCUCGUAGGCGGUUUGUCGCGUCUGCUGUGAAAUCCGGAGGCUCAACCUCCGGCCUGCAGUGGGUACGGGCAGACUAGAGUGCGGUAGGGGAGAUUGGAAUUCCUGGUGUAGCGGUGGAAUGCGCAGAUAUCAGGAGGAACACCGAUGGCGAAGGCAGAUCUCUGGGCCGUAACUGACGCUGAGGAGCGAAAGCAUGGGGAGCGAACAGGAUUAGAUACCCUGGUAGUCC
rnacentral:rRNA from 1 species